CGUGUCGUGAGAUGUUAGGUUAAGUCCUGUAACGAGCGCAACCCCCGGAAGUAGUUACACGUAGUCUACUUCAACUGCCUGCGCAAGUGGGAGGAAGGUGGGGAUGACGUCAAGUCAGCAUGGCCUGUAUGUCUAGGGCUACACACACGCUACAAUGGUCGGUACAACAGGUUGCCAAGCCGCAAGGCGGAGCUAAUCCUCUAAAGCCGAUCUCAGUUCAGAUUGUGGGCUGCAACCCGCCCACAUGAAGUCGGAGUUGCUAGUAACCGUGCGUCAGCUAUAGCGCGGUGAAUACGUUCCCAGGCCUU
rnacentral:rRNA from 1 species